GCACUUGUAGCUCAGUGGCUAGGGCACCAGUCACAUACACUGGAGCUCGCAGGUUCAAACCUGGUCUGUGCC
rnacentral:tRNA from 1 species